ensembl:miRNA microRNA 16-1
UGUCAUACUUUAGCAGCACGUAAAUAUUGGUGUUAAGACUGUAAAUAUCUCCAGUAUUAACUGUGCUGCUGAAGUAAGGCUAGCCACUUCUG